AUUUAUGUAACGGACUCUGUGAGAUCAGAGACAAGGAGUAAAAUGCCUGAGCUCAAGUGACAACAAGCAACCCCAGACUAGAGACAGGAUCCUUCUCCCCACUUCGAGCAGAUCCCAGCAUGAAUCCUGCAGUAUGGUGAUGGCAAAAGUCAGUGCAGGACCACUGGGACUCCUGGAGCUUCUCACAUCUCUGAGAGCACCAGCAGCAGUCCCCAGAUAGCAGAUGACUGGUAGGAAGAUGAGGCAAGUUUGCGGUCCAUUGUCAUGGAUAGUGGAGACAACACUGGGCCAGAAGUGGUAAGACCUGAAUCCAAGACUCAGCUCUGCCACUUGCUAAAUGGGACUUUGAAUAAACCAUUUCUCUGCACUUAAGUUCCUUACCAACAAAACGAGGGAAGUGGCCUACAUGCCUAGAUAUCAACAUUUCAUGUCACGUAGAGAUCUAGCAUCACAAGAAUCCAAGUCAUCCUCUGUUGCCUUUAAGAUUUCAGCAUGGUGAAGGAAAAGUAGCAGAAGACUGAAUGCAUACUCAGUUUUCAAGCUCUGGAUUUAAUCUUUCCAUAGCUGGAAUUGCCUCCUCCUCAAAAGCCUUAUUUGUUCAUUUAAUUGGGGCAACAUGAAAUAAUGAUGUAUCAUUGACAGAGAACAGGGGGCUUAGGUUCUCAUCUUGGUCCUAGUGAUUACUCUAUGCAUAACCUCAACUUCUUUAUCUGUACAUUGGGAACAAUAAUUCUUACUCCACUUGUUGUGUUGAAACUGAAUUAUAUAAUUCAUAAAUUAAAACACCAAAUUCUGAUAAAUGCUAAAUGCCAUUUUCUUAUCUUGUUCUUUCCUAUAAUGCCCAUUUUGAUAUAAACCAGGCUCCCUAGUCAGUCUUGCAGAAGGUAUUCUCAAGAAGAACUUAUAUCUUUGGUUUAUCAACAAAUUUGCAAAGCUGUGUUGAUAAUCUAGAGCUGAGUCUUUUAACAAGUUUUAACAAUAUCUCAAUUACUAUGAUGUAGGUCUCUUAAUAAAAUGUAAAUGUAAAUGUGACAGAAGUCAACAUUAGGACUUUUAGGAAGGGAUAUAGACACUCAACAUUCCUCUUUGUUCAGGAGGGUGACAUAGCACAGCUUGCCACCUGUGAGCUAACCUUAUCUAGAACACAGCAUAGGAACUACUGCUUGACUAGAAAACUAAUUUAUAAAGCUUAAGGAACUUAAGGGACUUUCAGGGACUAAUUUACCAUCAUAAAAUAUCUAUCUCUACGAAGAAAGAAGAGAGUUUUAAGUACUUGAAAAUAAAAAUCUUAUAUUUUAGACUUUUUGAGUGAAACUUCUUCACCCUUGCAAUAGACUGGCCAGAAAAAGAGUGAUUGCCAUCUCCCAUCUCUUAGAAUAGCAUGCUUGCCUGCAGACUCUGUGGCCAUGUUUCAACAACUGGAUUAGACCUCUUUCAAUAUCAAAUCCAUAUCUGAUCAAUUUCAAGUUGUUCCUGUCCCUUGGGAGUGGUUUGCCAUUUCCUGCCUAUGACUGAAUUCCUGCUUUCUUCUUAUCCUCAAUAGCUCAUGGCACGGACAUUCUCGUGUGCCUUGUCCACAUCAUGACCCUGCUAUCCAUUUGGGUGACCUCCACACUUUGUGUUUCCCACUUUCAUAUCACAUGAGACUCUCAAGGAGAGAGUUUCAGGAUGGGUAAAGCUAAGAAGUAAAAAUAGAAAAGGUGGUGAAAAUUCAGUAGACUAGCAUACAGGUUGACAGAAGAACACAUUUAUUUUCUAGUGGGGAGUGAUCCGUGAAGAAAGACCCGAAUCAAGAAGUCUUUCAGAAUUCUGGUUUUAAUAGUUUCCCAAAUUUACUUAUUAACAUUUACAUUCAAGCCAGAGAGAAAAGAGAGGAAGUCAUUCAAGAGAAAAUUGUCACAAGAAGAGCCUAUCCAAUGGAAAUGGCCACCUCUUAUUGAUCACUUACCAUAGGCUGGGUGUAUAGGGCAAGGGUCCUUAAGAUUAGCUGCAUAGCAGAAUCACCAAGGGAACUUUUACAAAUCCUGAUGCCAGGGCUAACUGCAGACCAAUACAGGUGGAAUCCAACAUAUUUAAAGCUACAUAAGUCAUUUCAAUGUGCAGCUAAUUUUGAGAGCCACUUUCAAUGGUGCUAGAGCCAGCUCUUAUUAGCUCACAGAAGCCAAUUAUUAAAUUUUCAGUAAUUCUGUAAGCGAAACACAUUGGCCACAGAGGGAAUAUUUACACCAUGGAAACUUACAAAUGCUGCAAAUCGUUUUUUUAUCUCUCUGGAGAACUAGUUUUUAAACAUUUAUAAACACACUGGUGGCCCUAAGGGGUAAACAUAUAACUUGCUAUUUAAAUCUGGGCAAUUUUAAGACACAUAGAGGGGAACAAAACAUACUGGAGCCUGCCAGAGGGUGAGGGGUGUGAGGAGGUAGAGGAUCAGGAAGAAUAACUAACGGGUACUAGGCUUAAUACCUGAGUGAUGAAGUAAUCUGCGUAACAAACUCCCAUGACAACACAAGUUUACCUGUGUAACAAACCUGCACAUGUACCCCUGAACUUAAAAUAAAAGUUAAAAGAAGAAAAAGCACAAAAAAAAAGAACAGAAAGAAGACAUUGUUAAUAAUUAUGCCAGGACAAUUAGCUUGAAUCAGAAAUUAUGAUCACUUUAAGUAUCUAGGUAGUUAAUACUCACAAUACCUAUGAAAGACAGUUAUCAUAAUGGCCAUUUAAUGAUUAGUCAACAGUGUCUUGGGGAAUUUAAGUAAGUUUCUCAAAUUUCUUUCACAGAAAUUAGAAUUAAAGGAAUCAGAAUUGAAGUGAAUCUGACUACACUAAGCCUAUCACUUGUGACAGCCAUGGGAAGAUAUCAUUGGUUGCUGAGGAGCAGAAAUAAGCAGAGACCUAUUGUGUUAGGUUAUCAUUCAUUUCAGACAAAAAGCAGAUCAGCAAGUUUUCAUAUUGCACUAUUUUCAAUGGCUGGAGCAUCAACAUUUUACAACAAGAAAAAAAUUAAAAUUCUUCAACAUUUGGAAAAGAAGUGUUUGUAAAACUUUUCACAUCCAUUCACCAUCCGGAAAAGCAAGGUUUUACAGUGAGGCCUGAUGAUGUCUAGAGUCACCAUGCAUCUUGGAAAAUGACCUCCUAUUUAUUUCUUCUACAGGACACCAUGGUGUUCACCUUUCUACAACUUUACACUUGCUGAGGACAUAUUGUGGAAAAUUAAGAGAAAUAUAUAUGGAUGGCCAAGGCUGUAGAUGGAUGUCCAAGCCUUUUUACUGGGGAAUGUUUUCAGAACAAAAUGAGUUACAGGUUCAAGAGUGAAACCCAACAAAUCUUGGCUCUUUUUUUCUCUACUAAAUUCCAAAUCAAAAGUAUUUAUGGAGUGCUUUUAAUGUGCCACGCACUGGGCUAGAGAUUCAUAAUUUUGAUGGGAAUCUGUGUAUUCAAACUCUUUUAACGUGGAAACCUUGCUUGUGCAAGGUCCUCCCAGAUCUUAUCCUACUUUAUCAAAGCUUGGCUAAAUGCAACAUGUCUUCUCCCCAGUGCCCUGGGUCUCUGUACACGCAGUAAAGUGGUCCUUAGACAUAUGCUGAAAUAGGGCUUAAUUUUCCCCAUAUACGAAUGAGAUAAAUUCUACUACAUGUAGCCAGACUUCGAUAGGGAGAACACCCAAAGUCACUUAAAAUAAAACUACACUUUCAUUUUUGCAAGCCAAAUAAUCCUGGAGGAAAUUGUGCUAAUUUUUUUUUCAAAUUUUCAGUUUACACAUUGGAGUUUUGACUUCAAUAUGUAAAAAGUGCAUGAAAAUGAAUGUAGUGCAUCUUUCCUCAUAUGCUCUGCAGUGAUGCGAACUGACUGCAUGGCUAGCUGGUCACCUGAUAAAGGGCACACAGAGAUUCUUGUAGUUCAUUAGGGAUUACUCCGAGGUUGAACACAGGUUUUUCUUUUUCUCAGAUAUAUAGGUAAGACUUGAACUUCAAUUUCCUGCAUAGUGAAUAUGGUUUCUAUUGUCAUGAUUGAGCUUUUUUCAUUUUAAACACUGAGAGCUUCUUUUGAGUUUGUGGGACCCACGCUUUUGGGCAAAGACUGCUUUCUCAAGGCACAUAUGUUCAGAUGUUCAGGUCAUGAUGCAGAGGUAUCAGCUGGGAGGUGCCCCAGGUAAGUUUGCUACUAAACUUCACCCACCCUCAUCUGAGAGGCCACGUCUCUUCCCCUGAGUCUGGGGAUCAUGACACUUUAUAUGUCAGCUACUUUCUUUUUUCGUUUUAUUUUAUUUUAUUUUUGAGAUGGAGUCUCACUCUGUCUCUCAGGCUGGAGUGCAGUGGCACAAUUUUGGCUCACUGCAACCUCUGCCUCCCAGGUUCAAGUGAUUCUUCUAACUCAGCCUCCCAAGUAGCUGGGAUUAUAGGUGCACGCCACCACACCCAGCAAAUUUUUGUAUUUUUUUUUUUUUAGUAGAGACAAGGUUCUGCCAUGUUGGCCAGGCUGGUCUCGAACUCCUGCCCUCAGGUGAUCCGCUCGCCUCGGCCUCCCAAAGUGCUGGGAUUACAGGUGUGAGCCACUGCACCCGGCCACAUCAGCUACUAUUUAAUGAACAUCUUUCCCUGGACAAGAACAAAACUCAAAGAAAUCCAACAGAUUGCAACUUAGUCCUGGGGAGAGAAAAGUCCACAUGUUAAGCAGAAAGCUGAACCACAUAGAAUUCAACCUUUGGUGCCGCUAGUGUUGACAAGGAAGGAUAGAUUCUCUGAGCUAGAGUAAUAAAGAAAGAGAAAUGAGAAACUAGUAUAUCUCCAAAGGUUCUCAAAGUAUUAUUCCUGGACCAGUAGCAUCAACAUUCCCUGAAAAUAUGUUGGAAUUAAAGAUCUCAGCCUCCACCCAGACUUACUGAAUCAGAAAUUCUGGAGCAGGGUCCACUAAUCCUUGUUUUAGUCUUCUGGGUGAUUCUGAUACACACUCAAGUUUGAGACCCUCUGUCUAGCUACACCAUGCUCUUUUUACUUCAACUCAUUAUCCCCACAACAUGAUGCCAUAAUAUAGGAGAUUACAUAGUGUCAGGCUUUGCUUAACUUAGGCUAAGUCUUUAGAUAGAUACAAAGAGGUCAUUCAAUUAGUGGUACCUAUUGGAUAGGGCUCUUAUACCAUCCAUUUUGUUCCGGCAGUUCUUAGCUCAGUUCCUGGGACACAAUAAAUGAUUAACAAAUAGAUAACUAGUUAUUGAAUGAGUGUGGAUUGAUGAAGUUUGAGUAUACACACACACACACACACACAGACACACACAAUGUGAGCCAUACAAGAGAAUGAACGGGAAAGCAAAUUUCUUCUUGAAUACUCAUAAAAUCAGCUUUUAAUACCAAAUAUUAUUUCUUUAGGCCAUAUCCCACUGGAGCCUGAAUUGCUACAAUAGCAUUCUGGAGAUUUUCCUCCUUUCUAGUAUUGGCCUAUCCUAAUGUAUUACAUAACUAGCUUUCUGGAAAAUAUUCCUCAAGGAUCACUUGCUUGCAUAACUUACUUUAGAAAUUCUUCAGUGUUUGAGUGUGUAGUUCUUUCUGUGCUGUGUGCCCAUUGUAUCUUGUGAAUUCCUGUCUACUAAGGUAAAUAUCUGUCCACAUGUCUCAUUCCUUCACUAAACUAAGAAAUCACUGUAAAGAAAAAUGUAUUAGUCUGUUCUCACACUGGUGAUAGAGACAUACCCAUGACCAGGCAAUUUACAAAAGAAAGAGGUUUACUGGACUUACAGUUCCACAUGGCUGGAGAGACCUCACAAUCAUGGCAGAAGGUGAAAGUCACGUCUCACAUGGCAGCAGACAAGAGAAGAGAGCUUGUGCAGGGAAACUCCCCUUUUUAAAACGAUGAGAUCUCAUGAGACUUAUUCACUAUCAUGAGAACAGCAUGGGAAAGACCUGUACCCAUGAUUCAAUUACCUUUUACUGGGUCCCUCCCACAACAGGUGGGAAUUUAAGAUGAGAUUUGAGUGGGGACACAGCCAAACCAUAUCAAAAAAUAAUUUAUUAAUUACCUUGUAUGAUUCUUUUUCCUAUUCCUGGGAUUUAGCACUGUUCCUAAAAUGACUUAUAAAAAUAUUUCAUGUGUAUUUAUGUAUAAGUACCACACACUAACAGAUUGCCCCACUGGAGCACCCAAUUUGUGUUUAUUUAAUCCGUGAAAACGAUUAGUUCCUGGCCAUGAAGUUUAUGCUCCUCCCAUAAUUUUAUGCCAGUUUUUCAGCCUUGUGAAUUUCCUCUUUUAUCCAUCACCUCAAUUAUUGUUUUUACAGGUGGAGUCUCACUAUGAUGCCCAGGCUGUACUUGAACUUCUAGGCUCAAGUGACCUUCCCACUUGAGCCUCUGGUAGCUGAGACUACUGGGGUGUGCCACCUUGCCUGGCUUCUCCUCUCACCUUUAGCUCAACAAGUCCUCUUGGAGUCCUCCUCUUACUCAAGCAGUGCUCAAGCCACCACUGGGUCAUACUUUACAUACCUUAGGGUGGCACUGUAUUUGAGGGUUCACAUUUAAAUGUGCCAAAUGCAUGCAAAGCCUGGUUUACAUUUAGGAGCUUUAUAUUUUUUUUGGCUUAAGGUCUGGUCUAUCUGGUCUAUAUGAAAAAUAGACUUCUUGAGCAGCCCCACCCUUUCUCACUUACAAACUUGUUCAUAAUUGGGCUUUAAAUAAAUAAAUAUUUACUUACUUAUUUACUUAAUGAGGUUGACAGCUUGGUGAGAUGUUUGACAAUGAUAAUUUCAAUAAUUUCUGUCAUUUUUAGUUCCAAGAGGAACCAUCACCCAGUUGAAACUGUGAACCUCUCUCACAAAGUCUAAGUAGCCCUUGAUUCAAGCUAUGGGCACCAGUCUCCACAUAAUCUACUCAGAAGCACUGUAGUGUGGAAAUUGGCAAUGUCUGCCUUCUCCAAAUCAUUCAAUAGAGUUUCAGCUUUUCUCAGGCAUUCUGCAUAUUUAUAAAAGUUAGCUCGAUGCAGUAUUCCAAUAAAACCACCAAUUAUAUGCCUUUCAAAGGAUGUCAUCUUCUGAAAGCGUUCCACAUGGCUAUAAUCUUAUUACCUCUGGUUGAAGUAGUCACAGACCAAACUAAACGGAACUGGACCAAGGGAAGAGGACACAGAAGGUAAAAGGAAGCCAGACCAGCAUGUUCUCCCACUCUAGUGCUCCUACCAAGAGGCUUUGAUAAGCAAUCACAAUUGUCCCCAGUGACAUGAAAGAAAAAGUGAAGCACCCUGUAGGGAUGCAUAGCAUGACAUCUACGUAGACUUGGGUCAUGGAAGGAAACUGUCACCACAUACAAGUUCAAGGGAAAUGUUCAGCCUCCAGGCCGCUGAAUGAAGCUCUGCCCAGGCCUUAGGAAAAGGUGAAACCCCAACUAGCAGGGGCCCCAGUUCACCAUAUCCAGGAAGGUGUCCUUGAACCAGAAAUACCCACGUUGUACUCCGACAUGAACAAGAAAUAGAUUUCUAUUAUAUUAAGCAACAGAAAUUUUCAGAUAUAUCAGUUCUCGCAGCAGGAAGGAUGUAUUGAUAAUGGCAACAUGGAUGGAGCUCAAAACAUCACAUUUAAUGAAAAAAGAGACUUACAUAAAAAAAUUAUAGACUAUAUUAUUACAUUCAAAUGAAGUUCAAGAACAAGCAAAAGUUGUGGAAAAAUAUCAGAAAACUUGCUUCUGCUGGAGGGGUAGGAUGGGAUUUGACUGGGAAGAGGCCUAGGGGAACAUGCUGGAAUGAUAUUAAUGUUCUAUUUCUUGAUGGAGGUUUGGGUUCCACAGGUGUAUGUAUUUGCUAAAAGUUAGCAAAUGUAGAGUUAAGGUUUGUGUUCUUCCUUGUGCAAUACAUUUUACACCAAAGGAAAGGCUGUAAACAAAUAUUGAACUGUAGUUAAUCAUAUGUAUGGAGAAAAACUUAAGGAAAAGACUUAUGAAUGCCUCAAGUUUAUUUAAAAAAGCAUUAAAAAUAAGAUUAAACAGGUAUUUAUGGAUAAACUACUGAAACUGAGAGAUAUUAACAGUAAAUAGUCAAAAUGUUCACUGUAAGAAUGAAAUUGAAAGGGAUUUGAACCCAGGUCUGUUUCACUGUAAAUCCUUGCUCCUGUGCUCUCUCAUGUUUAUUGGAAUUCAUGGGUAGAAAAUUUAAAUGCUCUGAAUCACUAUGAGAAGAAAGAUUCAGGAAAAAAAAAUGAAAGGCUAGAUUUCCAAAGAUAAGCCAGGUAAAUAUCAUGGAGAGUUGCAACAAUGUACUGCUAAUUAACUCUAAUACUUAGAGCUAAUGUCGAGUUUUCUGAGGGUUGUGACAUUCAUACAUGACUAAUUAACCUACACAGCAAAUCCAUUUCACUAGCUGCCAUGACACAGCCAAUCAAGACUAGCUCACUGUUUGCUCAUUUGGAAAAUGAUGAGGAUUCCCAUUUAGACUUAAUUACACUACAAAGAUUGACAAUUAUCUUCUCUAUAGAAGCAUCAGAUGUUUCGAUAUUAUACUGAACAUGUGCCUAUAAUUAUGUCCAUAAUUUGUCUAGCAGAAAAUGUAACCCAGUCAUUACUGAGAUCUUAUGCCUGUAAUUAGAUAUCAAAAAAAAAAUACCAAAUGGGAAAAGUGGGUUGUUGGGAUGUUAGGACCAUUACAAUGUGAGAAUCUGUAUGAAGCUAUUAGUGGGAACUCAGUAGCAACCAACAUCUCUUGGAUUGCUGCCCUCUAUUAAAAAUAAUCAGGAAGUGUGAGAGAGGGGAAAAUGAUGGCAGAGUAAAACCAUAGUACAAUCGCUUUUCCAAUACUUGACUGCAGUCAUUAAAAAUCCCAUAGGCACCUCAAAUUCAACACAUUUGAAACCGACUCAUUAGCCACCUUUGCCCCACUAUAGCUACUCCUUUUCCUGUGUUUGCUUUCUUAGACGAUUGCAAAGCAUUGUAGAGUCAUCUGCAACAAUUGUUCUCUCACUCCUUUCUCCUAAUCAAACCUCCGUGAUUCUGAUUACUAAUUUUUUCUAAGUGUGUUGCUCCUCUCUAUGCUGUGACUCUUCCAUUGUCUGCCUUCAUCAUCCUUGUAUGGUCAAUUUCAAGAGCACGUAUAAGAACGGUGCUGCAUCUGAAUGUUCACUCAUAAGUGGGAGUUGAACAAUGAGAACACAUGGACACAGGGAGGGGAACAUCACACGCUGGGGCCAAGCGGAGGGAGAGCAUUAGGACAAAUACCUAAUGCAUGUGGGGCUUAAAACCUAGAUGAUGGGUUGAUGGGUACAGCAAACCACUAUGGCACAUGUAUACCUAUCUAACAAGCCUGCAUGUUCUGCACGUGUAUUCCAGAACUUAAAGUAUAAUAAUAAUAAAAGAAGAAUGGUGCCGCUUUCCUCAAAUGUCUCCACCGUGUCACUUAUCUUCUGAAUUUCUCCCAGUAUGAUCAUCUCUAAUCACGAAUCUCAUUAUGCCACUCUGCCAUUCAGAAGAGUUGAGUGUGUCCACCUCUUUCCUAACAGCAUUUGGCAGAACACAGAAAGUAUGUUUUGUUUUUCAUUGAAUUUUGUGCCAGCUUCACGCUGGCCUGCCCCAGUCUGUAAUUUAGGCUAGCUCCAUUAUAUGGUUUACUAAUUAUGUAAUGUGACAUGCUCAUUAUUUCAGUUAUCUCUUGCAGGACAACUGGCUACCCCAAAAUUUAAUAGCUAAAAGCAAUCAUUUUUAUUUUGCUAAUGAUUUUUUGGGGUAAGGAAUGUAGAAACGGCUCCAAAGGGUGGUCGUUUCUGAUCAAUAUUGCAUCAGCUGGGGUGGAAGAAUCUUCUUCAAAAUAGCUUCUUUACUCACAUCUGGUGCCUUAGGGCUUCUUGACCUCUCUCUCUCUUCAUGUGGCUUCUCAUCCUCCAGGCUUUCUUCACUUGGCUUACCUUCUUGCAGCAAGGGUAUCUAAAAGAAGUCUCACUUUUUACACGGAAGCUAGAUUCCAAGAGGCAGGCAGUAGAAACUGCGCAGCUAGCUAAAGGCUAUAACAGAAAAAGGCAUGGCAACACUUCUACCAUAGUCUAUUAGUGAAGGCAGUUCCCAAGACCCUCAGAUUUAAGAGCACAGAGAAAUAGAUCCCAAUUCUAGAUGGGAAAAUGUCCAGGUCACGUUGAAGAAGAGCACAUAGGGCAAGAGACACUGUUGCACCUGUAUUUGCAAAAGUAAAUCUAUAUGCAUGCUAUUUCAUUCUUCUAAAAUACUGAGUGGCUGUAGCUCUCAACGCUAAUCGCUCUGUCUAUCCUACUCAAAUGCACUUCGGAGCAAUUGCUCAACUUUGCACAUUCUCUACGCAACCUCUCUCCAAAAUGCCCCUACAAUACUUAGUGUAAUCUCUUUUAUGUUAGAGUGGAACACCAUUGUCUAUUUACUGACAUAUUUAUCUCUCCCGCCAGAAUAUAAGGAUAAGCUCAUGUCUUAUUUACUUUAGAAUACCUUUUGUGUAACACAGAUGCUGGCAUAUAGUAGAUAUUAAAUACAUGUUCUAUUGAUCACAAGACUAAUAAAAGGAAUAAAUAAAUUGUCCUAUUCAUACAUGUAUUAUCUAUGCCUGGGGUACUUCCUGGAACAAGUUUAGUACCUGGUGAUUAUCAGCUUCCAAGAUGGCCCCCAAUAGUCUCCACCUCCUGAAUUCACACUCUUUGUAGUUCCUUCCUGCAUUGUGCCAGAGUUGGUCAAUGUGACCAACAGGAUAUAGUAGAAGGGAUGGUAUUAUGCUAUAAAAGACGUUCAAUUUUUAUCUCUUUCUCUCUCAUAAUUCACCCUGAGAGAAACCAGCUGCCUUGUUGCAAGCAGUCCUACGGAGAGGCCCACAUAGUGAGAAACUGAGGCCUUCUGCCAACAGCCAGAGGAGGGAGCUUGCAAGCAGACCCUCCAGCCCCAGCUAAGCUUCAGGUGACUGUCCAGGCAACGGCUGGAGUAAAACCUCACAAGACGUCCAGAGCUAGAGCCACCCAGCUCAGCUGCUCCCAGAUUUCUGACUCUCAGAAACCAUGUGAGAUAAUAAAUGCUUGCUGUUUUAAGCUGCUAAAUUUUGAAGUAGUUUUUUACACAGCAAGAGAUAAUUAUUUUAUUUACUAAUACAUAUUCGUGAAUGCCAUCCAACAUAGAAAGAAUGAAGCAGUUCCAUUCUUCUUCUUGGAUUUUUAGCUAAAGUAUUUUGUUGUUACUACGACAGACACCUGGGUGGUAAUUGCUAUUUCAAGCUGGACACCUGGGCUUUUUCUCCACUACAAAGAACCUCUCAGUUACUCCCAGAGAAAGUAAUGAUUUCACUUCUUGGAGUAAGUGUUUGUGCUAAUUAGCAGCAUGACGAAAUACAGCAUGUCAAGCAAAAAACUAUUUGUGCUUACCUUCCAACACAUUCUCUUACAGAGAGGACAUGAUGCCAGAGAAAUAAACAUUAAACUACUGUACACUAUCAGACUUUGCAAUGUAGCCUUACUUCACUAGCUUUGUAUUUCAAUCCCUAAUUACUAAACUGAUAAGAUUUCUGAUUAUUUUGGUUGAAAGAAAAAGCCCUCCUUUUGUCUCAACAAAAUUAGAACAUGAAAGAAAAAAAUAAAUACAUGAAAUUACCUAGAGAAUAUAUUAUUUAUAUCUGCUUCUAAGAAAUUCAGCAGGGGAUUUUUAAAAUGCUGGAUUAGUAAUUUUAUAAUCUUUUAUAUUCAAAUAUACUUCCAUGAAAUGUUAGC
rnacentral:lncRNA from 1 species